ensembl:snRNA U6 U6 spliceosomal RNA
GUGCUCAGUUUGGCAGCACAUAUACUAAAAAUUGGGAUAAUAGAGAGAUUAGCAUGGUCCCUGUGCAAGGAUGACAUGCAAAUUUGUGAAGCGUUCCAUAUUUUU